AACCUGCCUUUGAGAAGGGGAUAACUGUCCGAAAGGAUAGCUAAUACCCUAUAUUGCCUUUUGUCACUAAGGCAAAAGGUGAAAGCGAGGCUGUCAAAGGCUUCGGCUCAAAGAGGGGUUCGCGUCCUAUCAGGUAGUUGGUGGGGUAAUGGCCUACCAAGCCAAUGACGGGUAGCUGGUCUUAGAGGAUGAUCAGCCACAGUGGGACUGAGACACGGCCCGCACCCCUACGGGGGGCAGCAGUGGGGAAUCGUGGGCAAUGGGCGCAAGCCUGACCCCGCAAUGCCGCGUGAGGGAAGAAGCCCUUCGGGGUGUAAACCUCUGUCAGAUGGGAAGAUGGGACUAGGGGCUAAUACCUCCUGGUCUUGACGGUACCAUCAGAGGAAGGGACGGCUA
rnacentral:rRNA from 1 species